rnacentral:precursor_RNA from 13 species
CUCGGGUCCCCCACGGGGCUUGGCGCAGGGUCAGCGCUUAACGGGUGCCGUCGUCAUUCAUUCAUUCGACGGUACCUGUCGAGCGCUUCCCGUGUGCGGAGCACUGCGCUAAGCGCUCGCA